GUUGCCUCUUGGAACAGUCAUAUUGGUGCUGUAACCUGCUUAAAAUGGGCCCCACGUCGAUCCAUGUUUGCCGCUGCCUCCACAGCACUUGCAUUUUGGAUACCCAAUCCAUCAAAAUUGAAUGAGGCGGCGCCAGCUGCCAAAGCUAAUCCUGCACAAUGACUAAAGUUCACCUAUCCUAUCCUCUUUCAGUUUUAUCUGCUUAAAGAAAGAUGAUUGCUUACUGUAUGGUGGAAUAUGGGAAGACUCUUCUCUUACUGUCAAAGUGUCAAGCAACAGGACGGUUUGGCUCAGCUCUGUGGGAUGUUAAUUUUCUCUUUGUUUUUAGUUUGUAUUUGAAUUCGGGUAGUAAUUUUAUAGAACUUUAAACUUUCUGUUUUGUCUCUUAUAGUUAGUAUUUUCUUUGUUCUAUUUUUGUGGGUAGGAGUUAUACCAAUCCUUUUGCACGAGAACAGGAAUUACAUAAAACACCGUCAGAUUAUACCUCGGGAUCAAAUACCUUCCCGUGGUAACAUUGUUGGGUCCUGUUGAUGACUUUCUACUUGCUAACGGCAGAAACUGCAUCAUAACUUGAGAGCAGAAUCAAAUAUGUGGAUGUCACAGUGAGUUUUAAUACCAGAUGGAGGAGGUACAGGGUUCAAAUGGAUUAUUGGUACGCUUUGAAACAAAAGUUGACAUCUUGCACUUAA